AGUGAACGCUGGCGGUAGGCCUAACACAUGCAAGUCGAACGGCAGCACAGUAAGAGCUUGCUCUUACGGGUGGCGAGUGGCGGACGGGUGAGGAAUACAUCGGAAUCUACUUUUUCGUGGGGGAUAACGUAGGGAAACUUACGCUAAUACCGCAUACGACCUACGGGUGAAAGCAGGGGAUCUUCAGACCUUGCGCGAUUGAAUGAGCCGAUGUCGGAUUAGCUAGUUGGCGGGGUAAAGGCCCACCAAGGCGACGAUCCGUAGCUGGUCUGAGAGGAUGAUCAGCCACACUGGAACUGAGACACGGUCCAGACUCCUACGGGAGGCAGCAGUGGGGAAUAUUGGACAAUGGGCGCAAGCCUGAUCCAGCCACACCGCGUGGGUGAAGAAGGCCUUCGGGUUGUAAAGCCCUUUUGUUGGGAAAGAAAAGCAGCAGGUUAAUACCCCGCUGUUCUGACGGUACCCAAAGAAUAAGCACCGGCUAACUUCGUG
rnacentral:rRNA from 1 species